UGUUCCAAAUCUCGUUAUAAUUAUUCUAGUUUUGCAAAAUUGUUUUUUCCAAAUUUUGAUAUUUUACAGAUCCCUCUAUUAACCUUUUACUUUCUCCGUUAGAGGGCGGAGUUUCAUUGAACAAUUUUUAAGUCAUUCAUUUUGUAGUUCCUUUUUUACAUUUCACUUUUCAACUCGACAAGAUUUAACCUUCUUUCUUUUUGAAAAAAUUUUAAUAAUUUGUAACAUUUUUAUUGUUUUGUUCUUAAAAAACACGUAAAUGUAAAUUCUUACGUAGUUUUAUCCUGUGUUUUUUGAAAUGUUUUGACUGCUGAUGAUGGUAUAAAUAAAUACCGAAACUAGUCCAAUUCCUUCUUUUUAUUUCCACUUUGGUUAGGCUUCGACUUUAAGUUAUCCAUUUAUUCAUUUUGAAAAAAUUUAACCUAACUUUGAGAUGGUCAACUCCCUCAACUUCCCCAAGGAAUUUAAAAAAUUAUUUGUUGAGCUCUGUUACCAUUUAAAAUUAACACGCGUAUUUCGGAUACAUCCUGUAUAUUGCAAAUAAAAAAUUUCGUAUAGAAAGGGGGCUAGUUUUACUUUUCACGCAGGCGACCGAUACCCUAGGAACGGGUCUUUCAACAAUCCAGGAAUAAUGCAUACUUGAGGGCAAAGUAAUUGCAGGUGUCAGUAUUAAACAGAAUUACCGAAUAUGAAUGAUCACAAAUUAGAAGUUAACGAGACAAGCAGAUAAAUGUAAGCUAUGUGCAUUACACUGUGGCAACCGGUACCGUCUUAAAGUGUGAAAUACGAUAAAAAAAACAUGGGUAUGUACGAAGGAAAAAUAGGAAAAGUGCCGUGAAAGACUUAUUAAUAGCUAAUGUAAAUGUAGAGGACAUAGAGAAACCAAUGGUGAGCGAACUUGUUGUAAAUCAGACCUUGCAUGAACAAGGUGCUUGUAUGCAUUUCUAAGGCAAAGAAAAAGGCUCGGGAGGAAGAUAGCUUGGCAACUCCAAUAUCACCCAUUUAUGAAACGGAAGUGAGGCACUACGAUCGUGGUUUAGAUUUUACGAGCUUUCCAAAAUUUACAUCAGUGAAAACAGUUUUAAACAGGCAUCGCCACAAUUAUAAUCACAAUUAAGAACCCCAAAAUUUGCGAAAAUAAACUAGGCCACAAAUAUCUCUACUUUUGAAGAUACAUCAACCCAUUUGUUGUGGUAAGACGGAAUGGCAAGGAGAAGAUACUGAGUUUUGCAACAAAUUUUGGGAAAAAAGGCAAUGGUUAAUGGCAAGGUAUUUUCAUGGAUGGCAUAUUUAAUAGCUGCACCAACAAGUCUAUCAACUUUACACUAUCCAUGUGGACACUGGUAAGACACACGAGGAAACUAACGUAAUUCCAGAAAUUUAUUCUUUUCUUUCUGACAAGAAAACAGAAAAGUGUGCGAAAACGGCUUUCAAUACUGGCGCUGAAAAGUGAACUCCCUAGUGCAAAAAUUUCGAAUGUAAUUACCAUUUUAAUCAGUGUUCGUAGAGAAAAGUGUAAUCAUUAGGACUAGUAGAAGAAUACACAAACAGUGAGUGCAUUCCUUUGCACAUUCGAAUGUCUCUGGCGUCUCUUCCAAUUAAGGACAUAGAGGUUGGUUAGCUAAUGAUCAAGGAAAGUGCUCCAGUUAGUGACAAAAUAGAUAAAUUUAAUGACUAUUUUCUGGAAAAUUAAAUGGAUGGUAGUCUAAGUUGUCUUAGAAUGAGUUUUGCUCGUUCAUGGUUCUUCGUGUGUGUGAACCAAGUAAUAUGUUCAAGCCAAAAUUUUGGGAUGGUGAGGCUGCCGUCUAAUAAUACCAUAAGAUCUUUCUCCGGCAAGUUUUCCAAGUCAGAAAUGUGGCCUGAGGCGACAUCCAAGUGUGGCGCAAAUUCAAGACGAAGAUAAAAGGUCAGGAAAAAGGAAGAAUUUUUGUCAGUAACUGAAGAGAAAAACAUGGGAGAAGAGGUCAAUGAAGAAACAAGAUGAAUAGUCAUCAAGGGAAGUAGAAAGCUACUUCGAGUACCAGUUGGUUCUGGAAGACAACGAAAGGGACGAAAUGACAUUGCGGAAGCGGAUAAUUUACCACUCAUAGUCCAAGAAAUAGAGAAACGACCCGAGCUCUACAACGAAUACAAGAUCAGUUUUCAAAAUUUUAGGCAGACGUUGAAGGAAAAUAAAGAAUAAUUAUCAGAGCUGGAAUUUUUCUUUAUACCUGCAUUGCCGUUUGAAAAUCUGGCGUAUACACUAAUCGAAAAGUGGGACUGUGACGACAAAGCACGUAGCAAGAUUUGUCAUUUUAGAUUGGCCCUUUUGUGUAAAUAUCAGAAAAUGCUCAACAAAUGCAACAAAGCAUUCACGCAGUUAUUACAAUAAUCGAUCUCGUGGAAACUGAACUGAAAUUAAUGAUGACAGGAAGUCGUCAGGACAUUCAAUGUCUACCCGAACAGGCCAGUUGCCUUAAGAGUGAAGAAGACGUACCAAGUGAAGUCGAAAAAACAGUUGUGAAGAAUGAAGAUAAUAUGUAGAAAGUGAAGAUAGAAAAUGAUGUUGCCGAAGACAUUAAGGGUAUUGUUCUCAUUCAAAAAGAAGAGUUAUCAAAAACGAAUAAAACUGACGCUGAGCCUCAAGAAAAGAAGAAAAGAAGUUUCAUACCAGAUGAUGAAGAGAAAAACAGUUAAACAAGGCCAAGAAGUACCAAUGUGGGCGACGAAAGCACUCUCAAGUUUGGUGAUGGCCAAUUUGACUACGUCAAAGAGUUUUCAGGUCACUUGCGAGACGCUUAGGUCGAGAAAGGAUAAAGAUGAAAAGAAACGGGAGAAUUUUAAGAAUUCGAGGACAGAUUCUGGUCGUGGCCCUUCCACGAUGAAGGUCACCAUUGCCGUAAAAUUAAAGAAGACUAUGUCAGGUUCUUGGCACCCCAGUCUAUAUCGAAGGAUAUGGGGUUAAACAGGGUUUUUCUUUAAAGUUAAAAAUUUCUGUAAAAGUUGUCGCAAAGGUUGAGUAAACCAUGCAAGCAUUUCCGCGGCAUCAGCAAAUAUCAGGAAAAUGUCUUAACUGGGUCACUUGACCAGCGACAACUAAACAGUAACAAAAUGGUUUUUAAAUUUUAAGUAGUGAAAAUAUUAUUGUAAUUAAAUUUGGUUUAGAUUCACUGUUUUAGCUUGUUAGUAAAUUUUGUAUAUACAUAUUCAAAUC